AGAGGGGCCGGGGACUAGCCUCCCUGGCCGGGAGCUCAAGGGCCAGGCAGGACAGUCCUGCAGGACAGAUGUGACCCGCGGGCCGUAGUUCACCCACCUCUGUUCUGGAUGGUUUGGAAGGAUU